rnacentral:lncRNA from 1 species
CCCCCCAUCCCCACCCCCGGGCGCCACCACCCGGGCCAAAUCGGUCAGAGCGGCGCGGCCGGGAGAGGGGGAGGGCUGCGGCGGGGUUGGCGGGGAAGUGGCUGCACUGCCCGUGGCCGGGAUGGGGCUGCGCAGUCCUUGGCCCCAUCACCACCAGCCUCCACCCUGGGUCCGGGUUUGUCUCUCCGCACCGGGUGGGGGUUGUGCAGUGCCCACUUCCCGAGACCUACCGGGUUAACGGUCACUUGGAGGCAGCAGAUAUGUGAAGGAGGCAGGGCAAACACAUAACCCCAGCCCCAGGAUCCAACCCGUGUCCAUCUCACCCGGCAAUGACUGCUCCCCUUAAACACAGAGAAGGAAAUUAACUCCGCUCUAAUUAGUCAAGAUCCUGCCAAGAUUUCCUUGUAAAUAAAACUGUCGGCAUAGGGUGUGAUUUUGAAAACAGCCUUCAGGGGACAGAAGAGAGGCUGACUCCUUUGUGGAAAGAAGCCCCAAAGUACCAGCGGUGGCAGGGGGCCCCCAGGAAUCCCCUAGUCGUGUUUGAAGUCUGCAAGUCCGAACAGCGGACGCAGCUCAGGGAGGAGACUGCCACUUGGAAUCCAAC